AUGAGUUGGUUUUCUUUUUCUUUUCUUUUUUUUUUUUUAAAUUUUAUAUUAGUUGCUUUUGCUCCGGUGAUGACUUUGAUCAGAAGCCCAUAUCGUUCCAAUUUCCGAAUCUUUUUAUAUAUUUUAUGUGUGGAAGUGGAACCGAAGAGAUUCUGAGGAGCUUUCUUCACCUUAUAUUUCCCUCUUCGUUUUUUCUUUCUUUCGUUCUCCAUUUCUCUUUUUUUUUUUUUUUUUUUUCUUUUUUUUCUUUUUGUGUUUUUUUUGGGGGGGUUGGGAUUUUAUGAGCUGUUUUCCUAUUACUGCUGAAUGCCCGUUCAAUACUAUGAUGAAUUGGUGAUAAUACAUUUGUUACCUCCUUAUAUAAUGAUGUAAGGUAUACAAUUGUUCGAUGAAAAUUCAAUGACUGUAAAAAUAUAAAAUAACAGAAUUUUUUUUUUACAACGGUUAGAUUUUUAUCGAAUGGUUACAGGAGAAUUAUGUAUCUUACAUAAUAAUAUAAGAUAAUAAGUUCAUGAUGAUAGAGUCGCAGACAAACACGAAGAAAUU
rnacentral:lncRNA from 1 species